rnacentral:lncRNA from 1 species
CGAAGCUUUUUCCUCUCCGAAAAUGGCUAUUCAAUUUUGUUGAAGAAGAAAACAAGAAGAAAAUGUUUCAUUUAACCUUUAAUUUAAUUUAAUCUUUGCUUAUUUACAAAAUUGUCAUUAUCUUUUAAUUUUUAAUUAAAAUUUCAUACAUUUAAUCAUGUAAUCGUCCAUUUCUAUUCCCCAAUGAUAUAAUUACCAUAUUAGUCCCU